rnacentral:rRNA from 1 species
UGAGUAACGCGUGGGUAACCUGCCCUUAAGUCUGGGAUACCAUUUGGAAACAGAUGCUAAUACCGGAUAAAAGCUACUUUCGCAUGAAAGAAGUUUAAAAGGCGGCGUAAGCUGUCGCUAAAGGAUGGACCUGCGAUGCAUUAGCUAGUUGGUAGGGUAACGGCCUACCAAGGCGAUGAUGCAUAGCCGAGUUGAGAGACUGAUCGGCCACAUUGGGACUGAGACACGGCCCAAACUCCUCGGGAGGCAGCAGAG